rnacentral:misc_RNA from 1 species
AAGUCGUAACAAGGUAACCGUAGGUGAACCUGCGGUUGGAUCAUUAAAAAACAGAGUCGGGGAGACUCGAGCUGAAUUUAUUCAGUCAACCACUGUGAACUGUAAAUGAAGUGUUGUGGGUGUAAGUUUUUAUGCCCACCAACGUUAAAAAAACCUUUAAACUUGACUGAAUCAGAGACAAUGAGAUACAACUUUUGACAACGGAUCUCUUGGCUCUC